rnacentral:rRNA from 1 species
GAUGAACGCUGGCGGCGUGCCUAAUACAUGCAAGUCGAGCGAAUGGAUUAAGAGCUUGCUCUUAUGAAGUUAGCGGCGGACGGGUGAGUAACACGUGGGUAACCUGCCCAUAAGACUGGGAUAACUCCGGGAAACCGGGGCUAAUACCGGAUAAUAUUUUGAACUGCAUGGUUCAAAAUUGAAAGGCGGCUUCGGCUGUCACUUAUGGAUGGACCCGCGUCGCAUUAGCUAGUUGGUGAGGUAACGGCUCACCAAGGCAACGAUGCGUAGCCGAACUGAGAGGGGGAUCGGCCACACUGGGACUGAGACACGGCCCAGACUCCUACGGGAGGCAGCAGUAGGGACUCUUCCGAAAUGGACGAAAGUCUGACGGAGCAACGCCGCGUGAGUGAUGAAGGCUUUCGGGUCGUAAAACUCUGUUGUUAGGGAAGAACAAGUGCUAGUUGAAUAAGCUGGCACCUUGACGGUACCUAACCAGAAAGCCACGGCUAACUACGUGCCAGCAGCCGCAGUAA